rnacentral:rRNA from 1 species
GACGAACGCUGGCGGCGUGCUUAACACAUGCAAGUCGAACGGAAAGGCCCUGCUUUUGUGGGGUGCUCGAGUGGCGAACGGGUGAGUAACACGUGAGUAACCUGCCCUUGACUUUGGGAUAACUUCAGGAAACUGGGGCUAAUACCGGAUAGGAGCUCCUGCUGCAUGGUGGGGGUUGGAAAGUUUCGGCGGUUGGGGAUGGACUCGCGGCUUAUCAGCUUGUUGGUGGGGUAGUGGCUUACCAAGGCUUUGACGGGUAGCCGGCCUGAGAGGGUGACCGGCCACAUGGGGACUGAGAUACGGCCCAGACUCCUACGGGAGGCAGCAGGGGGGAAUAUUGCACAAUGGGCGGAAGCCUGAUGCAGCAACGCCGCGUGCGGGAUGACGGCCUUCGGGUGGUAAACCGCUUUCGCCUGUGACGAAGCGUGAGUGACGGUAAUGGGUAAAGAAGCACCGGCUAACUACGUG